rnacentral:rRNA from 1 species
UGGGGAAUAUUGCACAAUGGGCGAAAGCCUGAUGCAGCAACGCCGCGUGAGUGAUGAAGGCCUUCGGGUUGUAAAGCUCUGUCUUCUGGGACGAUAAUGACGGUACCAGAGGAGGAAGCCACGGCUAACUACGUGCCAGCAGCCGCGGUAAUACGUAGGUGGCAAGCGGUGUCCGGAUUUACUGGGCGUAAAGGAUGCGUAGGCGGAUACUUAAGUCAGAUGUGAAAAUCCCGGGCUUAACUUGGGAACUGCAUUUGAAACUGGGUAUCUAGAGUGCGGGAGAGGAAAGUGGAAUUCCUAGUGUAGCGGUGAAAUGCGUAGAGAUUAGGAAGAACACCAGUGGCGAAGGCGACUUUCUGGACCGUAACUGACGCUGAGGCAUGAAAGCGUGGGGAGCAAACA